rnacentral:lncRNA from 1 species
UAAAAAUGUGUAUAUAUGUGUAUGUACACACAUGCAUGUGUGUAUAUAUACAUAUUUAUAUAUUUGUAGAUAAGUGUUUAUAUAUAUGUAUAUACACCCUAUAUACAUAUUUACAACACAGAACCUAAGAGCAUAAUGACCUACAUUUAGCUAUAGAUAAAUAUUUAUUAGAAUUCUAUAUUCAUUAAGUAUCCCACAACUAAACACUGAUGUUAAUAACAUGUAUUUGGUCCAGUAAAGAAAUAUGAAAAUUAAGUAUAUAGAAAAUAGGCCCUAUAAAAAAAGAAUAAAUGAAUAAGAGUCCUUUUGUACAAAGUUGUGAUUUGUUUACAUUAUGUUGUUGCUUCAGUAAUUCACUAGUUUUAGUUCUUUUUUUAUAAUAAAUAAAUUUUUUAGUUGUAGAUAGACACAAUACCUUUAUUUUAUUUAUUUUUAUGUGGUGCUGAGGCUUGAACCCAUUGCUUCACACAUGCCAGACAAGCACUCUACCACUGAGUCACAACCCAAGACCCUUAGUUCCUUCUCUUUAAAAGUGCAGAUUGGUGCGGCCAAUUUGGAAAGCAGUAUGGAGAUUCCUGGGAAAGCUGGGAAUGGAACCACCAUUUGACCCAGCUAUUGCCCUUCUCGAACUAUUCCCUGAAGACCUUAAAAGAGCGUACUACAGGGAUACUGCCACAUCGAUGUUCAUAGCAGCACAAUUCACAAUAGCUAGACUCUGGAACCAACCCAGAAGCCCUUCAAUAGAUGAAUGGAUAAAAAAAAAUGUGGCAUUUAUACACAACGGAGUAUUACGCAGCACUAAAAAAUGACAAAUCAUGGAAUUUGCAGGGAAAUGGAUGGCACUAGAGCAGAUUAUGCUAAGUGAAGCUAGCCAAUCCCUAAAACACAAAUGCCAAAUGUCUUCUUUGAUAUAAUGAGAGCAACUAAGAACAGAGCAGGGAAGAAGAGCAGGAGGAAAAGAUUAACAUUAAACAGAGACAUGAGGUGGGAGGGAAAGGUAGAGAAAAGGGAAAUUGCAUGGAAAUGGAAGGAGACCCUCUUUGUUAUACAAAAUUACAUGUAAGAGGUUAUGAGGGGAAUGGGAAAAAAACAAGGAGAGAAAUGAAUUACAGUAGAUGGGGUAGAGAGAGAAGUGGGAGGGGAGGGGAGGGGGGGAUAGUAGAGGAUAGGAAAGGUAGUAGAAUACAACAGUUACUAAUAUGGCAUUAUGUAAAAAUGUGGAUGUGUAACCGAUGUGAUUCUGCAAUCUGUAUUUGGGGUAAAAAUGGGAGUUCAUAACCCACUUGAAUCUAAUGUAUGAAAUAUGAUAUGUCAAGAGCUUUGUAAUGUUUUGAACAACCAAUAAAAAAAAACAUAAAAAAAUAAAAUAAAAUAAAAAAAUAAAAGUGCAGAAUGGAACUUUUAAAAAAUAGGUUAAAACUCGUUUGGUUUAAGGAAUUUCAAACCCAAGGAUGUACUGGUCACUGAAAAUAAUGACUGUUAUUGUUGAUUAUACCUUAAGAAAGACAGGUUGCAGAGACCUGUAGUACAUACGUUAGGCCCAAUUCAAGUCACCACAUAUACGACAUUUAUAGCUUUACUCCGCUUUACAACAUGUGAUCUUCUAGAUAGAUGCAAAAAUAUAAUUAAGUGGAGAUAAUUUUACAAAAGAAUGUACCAAAUAAACUUAAAUUUAUAUAAACUCUAAUAUAUAAAAACUUUUGAUUUAUAUACUGUGGUAUUUAUCUUUGGGAAUGUAAUAUACAAUAGAACAAUAACAAUAACGUAUAAGGAAAACAGAUCUGUUUAAUAAAGUGGACAAACCUAAAAAUGAGCUCAAUACCAAUAUAUUUUAGAGGCAAGGAGUAACCUGGGGUAAUAUUCAGAAGGAAUUACUGAUGAGAAUAAUAUUAUGAAACAUGCUAAAACACUAAGGGGCUUUUUGCAGUCAUUUUCUCUAAAUAAAUUAAUGUCAAGUGUUUUUGUUCUAAAUAGACUUCUGAUCAGAAUCAGAUAUUUAGCCAGGUGCGAUGGCACACACCUAUAAUCCCAGCAGCUUGGGAGUGUGAGGCAGGAGGAUCACGAGUUCAAAGGCAGCCUUAGCAACAAUGAGGCACUGGGCAACUAAGUGAGACCCUGUCUCUAAAUAAAAUACAAAAAAAGGACUGGGGAUAGGUUCAGUGAUUGAGUGCUCCUGAGUUCAAUUCCUGGAAACCCCCCGCAAAAAAAAAAAAAAAAAAAUCAGAUAUUUAUACUUAUAAACCCAAAUGAAAGUAAUGGUGGUCUCAGCAGACUGCAUUUCUGGUAGGAAGAAAUUUUGGAAGGGUAUUCAUUUAAUUGCUAGCAAAUAGUUAGCAUUUCAUUGAGACCACUGGCAUCUGUAACAAUGAAAAACAUACUUUAUUGCAAAUAAGGAUUAAGGCAGCUUCCCUAGGAGUCUCUGAGAGGCCAUUNGGUAGCCCCAGAACUUUCAGCUUAAACUUCCCAGCUCUAAUCACCAUUUUCCUCAUAAACUCUUGAAACUACACUAUAAAACUAAACAUGUGCUGCGGAGGGAAACUCUGUCAACCAAUGACUCUCCAUUCAGGUUGCAGAAGAGUGACCAAGAACAAAGUUAGAUUCCGAGAAACCAAAAGACCUGUCACCUGGCUUAAAGCAGCCAUGAUGGCUAGAUGUUUUAGAACAGAACCAUUAGGUUAGAGUGAAAAAAGGACGCCUUUGAAAAGGUACUCAGAUCUAACUUUUCAAAGUAUGAAAAGUAUAUCUAUAUAUUUGCCUUUUCAGAGUAUAUUCAGAUUUUCUAAUUUGGGGCUUUUCACAACUUUUACUGAAUAAUAAGACAUUCACUAACUUAGAGGCAAGGGAAAGGACCUAAUGUGCAAAUCAUUAUUCCAUUUCUGAUGAAGUAGUAUAAUAUUAGCUAAGACUGAAAUUUUUAGAUAAUCUUAAAAUUAUAUUGAUUAGUGCUAUCAUUACCCUUAAAGAUCCAAAGAUGACUGAACAAAUGUAUAAAAUAUAUAACACAGGCCACAUGUGGUGGUGCACACCCAUAAUCCCAGUGACUUGAUAGGCUGAGGCAAUGGAUCCUAAAUUCAAGGCUGGCGCUGGCCACUUGGCAAGACCCUAUCUCCAAAAAAAAAAAAAAAAAAGAACUGGGGAUUAGCUCAGCUCAGUGGUAAAGUGCCCCUGGGUUCAAUCCUCAGUACCAAUUUUUAAAAAAAUUUAAUACAUAUACACACAUCUAAAUGCAUAAAAAUAUAUAUACUCACACACCGUACAUACAUACACAUCUAAAAAUGUGUAUAUAUGUGUAUGUACACACAUGCAUGUGUGUAUAUAUACAUAUUUAUAUAUUUGUAGAUAAGUGUUUAUAUAUAUGUAUAUACACCCUAUAUACAUAUUUACAACACAGAACCUAAGAGCAUAAUGACCUACAUUUAGCUAUAGAUAAAUAUUUAUUAGAAUUCUAUAUUCAUUAAGUAUCCCACAACUAAACACUGAUGUUAAUAACAUGUAUUUGGUCCAGUAAAGAAAUAUGAAAAUUAAGUAUAUAGAAAAUAGGCCCUAUAAAAAAAGAAUAAAUGAAUAAGAGUCCUUUUGUACAAAGUUGUGAUUUGUUUACAUUAUGUUGUUGCUUCAGUAAUUCACUAGUUUUAGUUCUUUUUUUAUAAUAAAUAAAUUUUUUAGUUGUAGAUAGACACAAUACCUUUAUUUUAUUUAUUUUUAUGUGGUGCUGAGGCUUGAACCCAUUGCUUCACACAUGCCAGACAAGCACUCUACCACUGAGUCACAACCCAAGACCCUUAGUUCCUUCUCUUUAAAAGUGCAGAUUGGUGCGGCCAAUUUGGAAAGCAGUAUGGAGAUUCCUGGGAAAGCUGGGAAUGGAACCACCAUUUGACCCAGCUAUUGCCCUUCUCGAACUAUUCCCUGAAGACCUUAAAAGAGCGUACUACAGGGAUACUGCCACAUCGAUGUUCAUAGCAGCACAAUUCACAAUAGCUAGACUCUGGAACCAACCCAGAAGCCCUUCAAUAGAUGAAUGGAUAAAAAAAAAUGUGGCAUUUAUACACAACGGAGUAUUACGCAGCACUAAAAAAUGACAAAUCAUGGAAUUUGCAGGGAAAUGGAUGGCACUAGAGCAGAUUAUGCUAAGUGAAGCUAGCCAAUCCCUAAAACACAAAUGCCAAAUGUCUUCUUUGAUAUAAUGAGAGCAACUAAGAACAGAGCAGGGAAGAAGAGCAGGAGGAAAAGAUUAACAUUAAACAGAGACAUGAGGUGGGAGGGAAAGGUAGAGAAAAGGGAAAUUGCAUGGAAAUGGAAGGAGACCCUCUUUGUUAUACAAAAUUACAUGUAAGAGGUUAUGAGGGGAAUGGGAAAAAAACAAGGAGAGAAAUGAAUUACAGUAGAUGGGGUAGAGAGAGAAGUGGGAGGGGAGGG